UACGAAGGGUGCAAACGUUGCUCGGAAUUAUUGGGCGUAAAGCGCACGUAGGCGGCUUUGCAAGUCCCAUGUGAAAUCCCACGGCUUAACCGUGGAAGUGCAUGGGAAACUGCAGAGCUUGAGUACUUAAGAGGAUCGCGGAAUUCCCGGUGUAGAGGUGAAAUUCGUAGAUAUUCGGAAGAACACCAGUGGCGAAGGCGACUUACUGGACGAUUGUUGACGCCGAGGUGCGAAAGCGUGGGGAGCAAACAGG
rnacentral:rRNA from 1 species